UACGGAGGGUGCAAGCGUUGUCCGGAAUCACUGGGCGUAAAGGGCGCGUAGGCGGCCCGGUAAGUAGGGGGUGAAAUCCUGCGGCUUAACCGCAGGGCUGCCUUCUAAACUGUCGGGCUCGAGCACGGUAGAGGCAGAUGGAAUUCCCGGUGUAGCGGUGGAAUGCGUAGAGAUCGGGAAGAACAUCAGUGGCGAAGGCGGUCUGCUGGGCCGGUUGCUGACGCUGAGGCGCGACAGCGUGGGGAGCAAACAGG
rnacentral:rRNA from 1 species